rnacentral:lncRNA from 1 species
UUCUUUAGGAUAUAAGUAUAUAUUUAAUUAAUUUUGAUGUUCAAUACAUAUCUUUCUAAACUAUUUAAUGUCAAGGUUUGUUACUCAUUACAAGUUUGAUUUAUUUAUAUAAUUGAGGAUGUACUUAAUAGAAAUAUUUAGCUUACAUUAUUUAAUCGAAAUCUCCCGUUCAUAAUCACUUUAUGAUUGUAUAAACAAAAUACAAAGGGUAAAAAAAUACGUACUGCUGAAAAAUUGUCACAUUUUUCUUUUUUUCUAUCUUUUAUGAGUAAUUUUCUUUUUUAUCUAUCAAAUAUACAGAUCAAGUGAUUUCGGAUAUAUAGGUUGAUCUUUCGAAGGUUACACAUCUCUAACUUGUUUAUUUUGGCACUCUAUUCAUCUGUGUUUCCUCUUAUUUUCAAUUUUAUUCUUGCGUCACCAAUGAUUAUGAUAGGGUUUUAUAUAUUGUUUUGAUGAGAUUGAGAUAUUUAUUAGGAUUAUGAGGAUCGCAAAAUAAUAAAGGUGAUGCUAAUGUAACACUGGAAAAAUGAUUGAGUUGGUUUCCUUUAUACCAUACGAUCUCAUUUUCAUUUUCUUGCAAUUAUUCUAUUUUCUUGUUUUCUUUUACAUUUUCUACUUAUAAUUUGUAUUUUAACACAUUUUUUAAUUUGUAUAACUUAUGUUAAUUCUUUAAUUAUCAUAAUAUAGAAGAUGACAUUUUAUGUUUUUUAGGAUAUAAGUAUAUAUUUAAUUAAUUUAGAUGUUCAAUAUAUAUCUUUCUAAACUAUUUAAUAUCAAGGUUUGUUACUCACUGCAUGUUUGAUUGAUUUAUACAAUUGAGGAUGUACUUAAUCGAAAUAUUUAGCUUACAUUCUUUAAUAGAAAUCCCUAGUUCAUAAUCACUUUAUGAUUGUAUAAAAAAAAUACAAAGGGUAAAAAAAUACGUACUGCUGAAAAAUAAUCACAUUUUCCUUUUUUUCUAUCGUUUAUGAGUAGUUUUCGCUUUUAUCUAUCAAAUCUACAAAUCAAGUGAUUUCUGAUAUAGGUUGAUCUUUUGAAGGAUACACAUCUCUAACUUGUUUAUUUUGGCACUCUAUUCAUCUGUGUUUCCUCUUAUUUUCAAUUUUAUUCUUGCGUCACCAAUGAUUAUGAUAGGGUGUUUUCGUAUUGUUUUGAUGAGAUUGAGAUGUUGGUUAGGAUUAUGAGGAUCUCACAAUAAUAAAGGUCAUGCUAAUGUAACACUGGAAAAAUGAUUGAGUUGGCUUCCUUUAUACCAUAGGGUCUCAUUUUCAUUUUCUUGUAAUUAUUCUAUUUUCUUUUUUUCUUUUUCAUUUUCUUGUAAUUAUUCUAUUCUCUUUUUUUCUUUUUCAUUUUCUACUUAUAAUUAGUAUUUCAGCAUAAUUUUUAUUAUGUAUAACUUAUGUUAAUUGUUUAAUUAUCAAAAUAUAGACGGUGACAUUUUAUGUUCUUUAGGAUAUAAGUAUAUAUUUAAUUAAUUUUGAUGUUCAAUACAUAUGUUUCUAAACUAUUUAAUGUCAAGGUUUGUUACUCAUUACAUGUUUGAUUGAUUUAUAUAAAUGAGGAUGUACUUAAUAGAAAUAUUUAGCUUACAUUAUUUAAAAGAAAUCUCUGGUUCAUAAUCACUUUAUGAUUGUAUUGAUUUAUAUAAAUGAGGAUGUACUUAAUAGAAAUAUUUAGCUUACAUUAUUUAAAAGAAAUCUCUGGUUCAUAAUCACUUUAUGAUUGUAUAAACAAAAUACAAAGGGUAAAAAAAUAUGUACUGCUGAAAAAUUGUCAUAUUUUCCUUUUUUUUCUAUCUUUUAUGAGUAAUUUUCUUUCUUAUCUAUCAAAUAUACAAAUCAACUGAUUUCAGAUAUAGGUUGAUCUUUUGAAGGUUACACAUCUUUAACUUGUUUAUUUUGUCACUCUAUUCAUCUAGGUUUCCUCUUAUUUUCAAUUUUAUUCUUGUAUCACCAAUGAUUAUGAUAGGGUUUUUCGUUUUGUUUUGAUGAGAUUGAGAUGUUUGUUAGGAUUAUGAGGACCUCACAAUAAUAAAGGUGAUGCUAAUGUAACACUGGAAAAAUGAUUGAGUUGGUUUCCUUUAUACCAUACGGUCUCAUUUUCAUUUUCUUGUAAUUAUUAUAUUUUCUUUUUUUCGUUUUCAUUUUCUUUUAACUAUUCUAUUUUCUUUUUUUCUUUUUCAUUUUCUACUUAUAAUUAGUAUUUGAGCAUAUUCUUUAUUCUGUAUAACCUAUGUUAAUUGUUUAAUUAUCAGAAUAUAGAAGAAGACAUUUUAUGUUCUUUAGGAUAUAAGUAUAUAUUUAUUUAAUUUUGAUGUUCAAUACAUAUCUUUUUAAACUAUUUAAUGUCAAGGUUUAUAACUCAUUACAAGUUUGAUUGAUUUAUAUAAUUGAGGAUGUACUUAUUAGAAAUAUUUAGCUUACAUUAUUUAAUCGAAAUCUCCCGUUCAUAAUCACUUUAUGAUUGUAUAAACAAAAUACAAAGGGUAAAAAAAUACGUACUGCUGAAAAAUUGUCAUAUUUUCCUUUUUUUCUAUCUUUUAUGAGUAAUUUUCUUUCUUAUCUAUCAAAUGAUUCAUAAUCACUUUAUGAUUGUAUAAACAAAAUACAAAGGGUAAAAAAAUACGUACUGCUGAAAAAUUGUCAUAUUUUCCUUUUUUUCUAUCUUUUAUGAGUAAUUUUCUUUCUUAUCUAUCAAAUGAACAGAUCAAAUGAUUUUUGAUAUAGGUUGAUCUUUUGAAGGUUACACAUCUCUAACUUGUUUAUUUUGGCACUCUAUUCAUCUAGGUUUCCUCUUAUUUUCAAUUUUAUUCUUGCGUCACCAAUGAUUAUGAUAGGGUUUUUUGUAUUGUUUCGAUGAAAUUGAGAUAUUUGUUAGGAUUAUGAGGAUCUCACAAUAAUAAAGGUGAUGCUAAUGUAACACUGGAAAAAUGAUUGAGUUGAUUUCCUUUAUACCAUAGGGUCUCAUUUUCAUUUUCUUGUAAUUAUUCUAUUUUCUUUUUUUCAUUUUCAUUUUCUACUUAUAAUUAGUAUUUUAGCAUAUUUUUUGAUAUGUAUAACUUAUGUUAAUUGUUUAAUUAUCCGAAUAUAGAAGAUGACAUUUUAUAUUCUUUAGGAUAUAAGUAUAUAUUUAAUUAAUUUCGAUGUUCAAUACAUAUCAUUCUAAACUAUUUAAAUUCAAGGUUUGUUACUCAUUAGAUAGAAAUCUAUGGUCCAUAAUCACUUUAUGAUUGUAUAAACAAAAUACAAAGGGUAAAAAAAUACGGAUUGCUGAAAAAUUGUUAUAUUUUCCUUUUUUUUUUAUCUUUUAUGAGUAAUUUUCUUUCAUAUCUAUCAAAUGUACAGAUAAAGUGAUUUCUGAUAUAGGUUGAUCUUUUGAAGGUUAGACAUCUCUAACUUGUUUAUUUUGUCACUCUAUUCAUCUGUGUUUUCUCUUAUUUUCAAUUUUAUAAUUGCGUCACCAAUGAUUAGGAUAGGGUUUUUCACAUUGUUUUGAUGAGAAUGAGAUAUUUGUUAGGAUUAUGAGGAUCGCACAAUAAUAAAGGUGAUGCUAAUGUAACACUAGAAAAAUGAUUGAGUUGGUUUCCUUUAUACCAUACGAUCUCAUUUUCAUUUUCUUGCAAUUAUUCUAUUUUCUUGUUUUCUUUUUCAUUUUCUGCUCAUAAUUUGUAUUUUAGCAUAUUUUUUAAAUUGUAUAACUUAUGUUCAAUAUAUAUCUUUCUAAACUAUUUAAUAUCAAGGUUUGUUACUCACUGCAUGUUUGAUUGAUUUAUACAAUUGAGGAUGUACUUAAUAGAAAUAUUUAGCUUACAUUAUUUAAUAGAAAUCUCUAGUUCAUAAUCACUUUAUGAUUGUAUAAACAAAAUACAAAGGGUAAAAAAAUACGUACUACUGAAAAAUUGUCACAUUUUCCUUUUUUUCUAUCUUUUACGAGUAAUUUUCUUUUUUAUCUAUCAAAUAUACAGAUCAAGUGAUUUCUGAUAUAGGUUGAUCUUUCGAAGGUUACACAUCUCUAACUUGUUUAUUUUAGCACUCUAUUCAUCUGUGUUUCCUCUUAUUUUCAAUUUUAUUCUGCCGUCACCAAUGAUUAUGAUAGGGGUUUUCGUAUUGUUUUGAUGAGAUUGAGAUGUUUGUUAGGAUUAUGAGGAUCUCACAAUAAUAAAGGUGAUGCUAAUGUAACACUGGAAGAAUGAUUGAGUUGAUUUCCUUUAUGCCAUACGGUCUCAUUUUCAUUUUCUUGUAAUUAUUCUAUGUUACUCACAAUUAUAAAUGUGGUGCUAAUGUAACACUUGAAAAUGAUUGAGUUGGUUUCCUUUAUAAUAUACAGUCUCAUUUUCAUUUUCUUGUAAUUAUUCAAUUUUCUUUUUUUAUUUUUCAUUUUCUACUUAUAAUUAGUAUUUUAGCAUAUUUUUUAAUCUGUAUAACUUAUGUUAAUUGUUUAAUUAUCAGAAUAUAGAAGAUGGCAUUUUAUGUUCUUUAGGAUAUAAGUAUAUAUUUAAUUAAUUUUGACGUUCAAUAUAUAUUUUUGUAAACUAAUUAAUGUCAAGGUUUAUUACUCAUUAUAUGUUUGAUUGAUUUAUAUAAUUGAGGAUGUACUUAAUAGAAAUAUUUAGCUUACAUUAUUUAAUAGAAAUCUCUGGGUCAUAAUCACUUUAUGAUUGUAUAUACAAAAUACAAAGGGUAAAAAAAUACGUACUGCUGAAAAAUUGUCAUAUUUUCCUUUUUUUUCUAUCCUUUAUGAGUAAUUUUCUUUCUUAUCUAUCAAAUGUACAAAUCAAGUGAUUUCUGAUAUAGGUUGAUCUUUUGAUGGUUACACAUCUCUAACUCUCUCAUUUUGUCACUCUAUUCAUCUAUGUUUCCUCUUGUUUUCAAUUUUAUUCUUGCGUCACCAAUGAUUAUGAUAGAGUUUUGUAUUGUUUUGAUGAGAUUGAGAUGUUUGUUAGGAUUAUGAGGAUCUCAAAAUAAUAAAGAUGGGGCUAAUGUAACACUGGAAAAAUGAUUGAGUUCUUUCCUUUAUACCAUACGAUCUCAUUUUUAUUUUCUUGUAAUUAUUCUGAUUUCUUUUUUCUUUUUCACUUUCUAUUUAUAAUCUUUUAUGAGUAAUUUUCUUUCUUAUCUAUCAAAUGUACGGAUCAAGUGAUUUCUGAUGAAGGUUAAUCUUUUGAAGGUUACACAUCUCUAACUUGUUUAUUUUGUCACUCUAUUCAUCUGUGUUUCCUCUUAUUUNUCAUUACAUGUUUGAUUGAUUUAUAUAAUUGAGGAUGUACUUAAUAGAAAUAUUUAGCUUACAUUAUUUAAUAGAAAUCUCUGGUUCAUAAUCACUUUAUGAUUGUAUAAACAAAAUACAAAGGGUAAAAAAAUACGUAUUGCUGAAAAAUUGUCAUAUUUUCCUUUUUUUUUAAUCUUUUCUGAGUAAUUUUCUUUCUUAUCUAUCAAAUGUACUGAUCAAGUGAUUUCUGAUAAAGGUUAAUCUUUUGAAGGUUACACAUCUCUAACUUGUUUAUUUUGUCACUCUAUUCAUCUGUGUUUCCUCUUAUUUUUAAUUUUAUUCUUCCGUCAACAAUGAUUAUGAUAGGGUUUUUCGUAUUGUUUUGAUGAGAUUGAGAUGUUUGUUAGGAUUAUGAGGAUCUCACAGUAAUAAAGGUGAUGUUAAUGUAACACUGGAAAAAUGAUUGAGUUGGUUUCCUUUAAUACAUACGGUCUCAUUUUCAUUUUCUUGUAAUUCUUCUCUCUUCUUUGUUUCUUUUUCAUUUUCUACUUAUAAUUAGUAUUUUAGCAUAUUUUUUAAUCUAUAUAACUUAUGUUAAUUGUUUAAUUAUCAGAAUAUAGAAGAUGACAUUUUAUGUUCUUUAGGAUAUAAGUAUAUAUUUAAUUAAUUUUGAGGUUCAAUACAUAUCUUUCUAAACUAUUUAUUGUCAAGGUUUGUUAAUCAUUACAUGUUCGANUCAUAUCUUUUCUACUAUAAUGGCAAGGUUUGUUUACUCUUACAUGUUUUGAUUGAUUUUAUAUGGGACUAUACGUAACUAUAAAUAUUAGCUACAUAUUUGAAUAGAAUUUGUGGUUAUAUCACUUUUGAUUGUAUAAAACACAUAAAGGUUAAAAUUAUGUCCGCUGAAAAUAUUUUUUUUUAAUUUUUAUGGUAUUUUCAUCUUAUCUAUUCAUACGGAUCACGUGAUUUCUGAUAGGUUAUCUUUUGAAGACAAUCUCUACUUUUUUAUUUGUCCUCUAUUCAUGCUGUGGGUUCCUUUUCUAUUAUUCUCGUCCAAUUGAUUUGAUAAGGGUUUUUCGUUUGUUUUUGUGAGAUUGCGUGUUUGUUGGAUUAUGAGGAUCUACGCUAUAAAGCAUGGUGCUAUGCAUAACACUGGAAAUGUGGUUGAGUUUCCUUUUAACUUACGGGUCUCAUUUUUCUUUUUGUAUUUCUAUUUUCUUUUUCUUUUUCAUUUUUUAUGUAAUGAUUCUUUUUCUUUUUUUCUUUUUUGCUCCUUAUAUAAGUAUUUAGCAUUAUUUUUUAAUCUAUAUCUUAUUUUGAUUUACUUAUUCAGCAGAUUGAAGUGGACGUAUUUUGUUCUUUAGGAUUAAUAUAUAUUAAUUAUUUGGGAUGUCAUACUAUCUGUUCUAAACUAUUAUGUCGAGUUUGCUGUAUCAUUACAUGUUUGACUUGAUUUAUAUAUUGAGGAUUACUUAUAUAGAAUAUUUAGUCUUAAUUAGUAUUUAAUAGAACUCUCUGUUCAUACUCACUUUAUGAUUGAUUAACAAAUACAGGUAAAAUACGUUUGCCUGAAAUUGUCUAUUUUCCUUUUUUUUUUAAUCUUUUCUGAGUAUUGUUCUUUCUUAUCUAUCAAUGUAGUCAAGUGAUUUCUGAUAGGUUAUAUUUUUGAAGGUUACAUCUUCUAACUUGUUUAUUUUGUCACUCUAUUCAUCUGUGUUUUUCUUAUUUUUAAUUUUAUUUUCAGUCAACAAUGAUUUGAUAGGGUUUUUCGUAUUGUUUUGAUGAGAUUGAGGUUUGUAGGUUAUUUGAGGUAUGUUGUAAUAUAGUGAUUGUUAAUGUAACCUGGAAAAAUGAUUGAGUUGGUUUCCUUAUAUACGGUCUCAUUUUCAUUUCUUGGUAAUUCUUCUCUCUUCAUUUGUUCUUUUUCAUUUUUCUACUGUAUAAUUAGUAUUUUAGCAUAUUUUUAAUCUAUAUAACUUAUGUUAAUUGUUUAAUUAUCAGAUAUAAGAAGAUGGAUUUUAUGUUCUUUAGGUUAGUAUAUUUAAUUAUUUGAGGUUCUACUUCUUUUAACUAUUUUAUUGUUGCAGGUUGUAAUCUUACUGUUUUGAUUGGAUUAUAUAUUGAGGAUUACUAUAAACUAUUAUUGAUUAUUAUGAAUCUAGGUUCUAAUCCUUUGAUGUUACAAAUAAGGUUAAAAUUAGUACUGCUGAAAUUUGUUUAUUUUCUUUUUUUUCUCUUUAUGGUAUUUUCUUUCUAUUCUCAAUGUCAUCACAGUGAUUUUGAUCUGGUGUAUUUGUUCAUGGUUAAUUCUCUACUCUCUCAGUUUGACUCUUUAUUCUGACGUUGUCCUCUUAUUUUCAUUUUAUUCUUCGUCACCAUAUGAUUUGAGUAGGGUUUUUCAUAUUGUUUGAUGAGAUUGAGUGGUGUUUUAGGUUUGAGAUCUCAAACAUAAAGAUGGUGCUGUAAUGCACGGAAAAUGUUGGGUUGGUUCCCUUUUACUACUGGUCUCUUUUUAUUUGCUUUAUAUUUUAUUUUCUUUUUUUCUUUUUCAUUUUCUUGUAUUAUUUUUUUCUUUUUUUCGUUCGUUUCUAUUAUAUUGUAUUUUAGAUAUUUUUUAAUCUUAAUCCUUAUGUAUGAUUUAUUAUCAAAUUAGAGAUGACAUUUUAUGCUUCUUUAGCUAUAAGUAUAUAUUUAUUAAUUUGAUGUUCAUAAUAUCUUUUAACUUUUAAUGUCAGGUUUGUACUCAUUACUGUUUUGAUUGAUUAUUAUGAGGAUAUACGUAUAUAUAUUGUUAAUAUUUAAUAGAAUCUUUGGUUUUAUCAUUUUUUGAUUGUGUUAUAAACCAUACAAGGUUAAAAUUGGCCGCUGAGAAAUUGUUAUUUUUCCUUUUUUGUAUCUUUUAUUGGUGAUUUUCUUUCUUAUCCUAUCAAUAGUCGGAUCAGUGAUUCUGUAAAGGAAGUUAAUCUUUUGAAGGUUACACAUCUCUACUUGUUUAUUUUGUCAUCUAUUCAUCUGUGUUUCUUUUUUAUAAUUUUAUUUUUCGUCACCAAAUGUUCAUGAUAGGUUUUUCGGUAUUGUUUUGAUGAGUGAGAUGUUGUUGAUUAUUGAGAUCUCAGUAAUAAAGUGUGUUAAGUACACUGGAAAAUCAUUGGGUUGGUUUCCUUUAUAACAUCCCGGUCUCAUUUUCAUUUUGUUGUUUAUUCUAUAUUUUCUUUUUUUUCUUUUUUAUUUUUUUGUAUUAUUUUUUCUUUCAUUCUUUUCUUUUACUUAGUAUGUUUUUAGUUUUUUUAUCUAUUACUUUGUUCAUGAUUUAAUGCGAAUUGAGUGCUUUAUGUCUUUAGGAUAUAAGUAUUAUUUAAUUAUUUUGAUGUUCAUCAUACGUUUCUAAACUAAUUUGUCAGGUUUGUUCUGACAUGUUUGAGUUGUUUAUAUAAUUUGAGGAUGUUACUUAUAGAAAUAUUUAGCUUAAUUAUUCUAAUAGAAAUCUCGGUUCAUAAUCACUCUAUGAUUCGCUAUAACAAUAAACGGUAAUACGUCGCGCUGAAAUUGUCUAUUUUCUUUUUUUUAAAUCGUUUAUGAGUAAUUUCUUUUCUUAUUAUCAAUGUACGCGAUCAAGUGUUUGUGAAGUUAAUCUUUUGAAAAGGUUACACAUCUCUAACUUGUUUAUUUUGUCACUCUAUUCAUCUGUGUUUCCUCUUAUUUAUAAUUUUAUUCUUCCGUCACCAAUGAUUAUGAUAGGGUUUUUCGUAUUGUUUUGAUGAGAUUGACAUGUUUUUUAGGAUUAUGAGGAUCUCACAGUAAUAAAGGUGGUGCUAAUGUAACACUGGAAAAAUGAUUGAGUUGGUUUCCUUUAUAACAUACGGUCUCAUUUUCAUUUUCUUGUAAUUCAUCUAUUUUCUUUUUUUCUUUUUCAUUUUCUUGUAAUUAUUCUUUUUUCUUUUUUAUCUUUUCCAUUUUCUACUUAUAAUUAGUAUUUUAGCAUAUUUUUAAUCUAUAUAACUUAUGUUAAUUGUUUAAUUAUCAGAAUAUAGAAGAUGACAUUUUAGGUUCUUUAGGAUAUAAGUAUAUAUUUAAUUAAUUUUGAUGUUCAAUACAUAUCUUUCAAUACUAAUUAAUGUCAAGGUUUGUUACUCAUUACAUGUUUGAUUGAUUUAUAUAAUUGAGGAUGUACUUAAUAUAAAUAUUUAGCUUACAAUAUCUAAUAGAAAUCUCUGGUUCAUAAUCACUUUAUGAUUGUAUAAACAAAAUACAAAGGGUAAAAAAAUACGUACUGCUGAAAAAUUGAUAUAUUGUCCUUUUUUUCUCUGUAUCUUUUAUGAGUAAUUUUCUUUCUUAACUAUCAACUGUAUGGUUCAAUUGAUUUAUGAUAUAAGUUAAUGUUUUGAAGUUUACACAUCUCUAACUUGUUUAUUUUGUAACUCUAUUCAUCUGUGUUUCCUCUUAUUUUAAAUUUUAUUCUUGCAUCAUCACCAAUGAUUAUGAUAGGGUUUUUCGUAUUGUUUUGAUGAGAUUGAGAUGGUUGUUAGGAUUAUGAGGAUCUCACAAUAAUAAAGGUGGUGCUAAUGUAACACUGGAAAAAUGAUUGAGUUGGUUUCCUUUAUAACAUACGGUCUCAUUUUCAGUUUCUUGUAAUUAUUCUUUUUUCAUUUUUUGUUUUUCAUUUUCUUGUAAUUAUUCUUUUUUCUUUUUUUCUUUUUCAUUUUCUAUAUAAGUUAUGUUAAUUGUGUAAUUAUCAGAAUAUAGAAGAUGACAUUUUAUGUUCUUUAGGAUAUAAGUAUAUAUUUAAUUAAAUUUGAUGUUCAAUACAUAUCUUUCUAAACUAAUUAUUGUCAAGGUUUAUUACUCAUUACAUGUUUGAUUGAUUGAUAUAAUUGAGGAUGUACUUCAUAGGAAUAUUUAGCUUACAUUAUUUAAUAGAAAUAUCUGUUUCAUAAUCACGUUAUGAUUGUAUAAACAAAAUACAAAGGGUAAAAAAAUACGUACUGCUGAAAAAUUGAUAUAUUGUCCUUUUUUUCUCUCUAUCUUUUAUGAGUAAUUUUCUUUCUUAACAAUCAACUGUAUGGUUCAAUUGAUUUAUGAUAUAAGUUAAUGUUUUGAAGUUUACACAUCUCUAACUUGUUUAUUUUGUAACUCUAUUCAUCUGUGUUUCCUCUUAUUUUAAAUUUUAUUCUUGCAUCACCAAUGAUUAUGAUAGGGUUUUUCGUAUUGUUUUGAUGAGAUUGAGAUGGUUGUUAGGAUUAUGAGGAUCUCACAAUAAUAAAGGUGGUGCUAAUGUAACACUGGAAAAAUGAUUGAGUUGGUUCCAUUAUAACAUACGGUCUCAUUUUCAGUUUCUUGUAAUUAUUCUUUUUUCAUUUUUUGUUUUUCAUUUUCUUGUAUUUUUCUUUUCUCUUUUUUUUCUUUUUCAUUUUCUAUAUAAGUUAUGUUAAUUGUGUAAUUAUCAGAAUAUAGAAGAUGACAUUUUAUGUUCUUUAGGAUAUAAGUAUAUAUUUAAUUAAAUUUGAUGUUCAAUACACAUCUUUCUAAACUAAUUAUUGUCAAGGUUUGUUACUCAUUACAUGUUUGAUUGAUUGAUAUAAUUGAGGAUGUACUUAAUAGGAAUAUUUAGCUUAUAUUAUUUAAUAGAAAUAUCUAGUUCAUAAUCACUUUAUGAUUGUAUAAACAAAAUACAAAGGGUAAAAAAAUAUGUACUGCUGAAAAAUUGUCAUAUUCUCCUGUUUUUUCUAUCUUUCAUGAGUAAUUUUCUUUCUUAUCUAUCAAAUGUACAGAUCAAGUGAUUUCUGAUAUAGGUUGAUUAUUUGAAGGUUACACAUCUCUAACUCUCUCAUUUUGUCACUCUAUUCAUUUAUGUUUCCUCUUAUUUUCAAUUUUAGUUUUGCGUUACCAAUGAUUAUGAUAGGGUUUUCGUAUUGUUUUGAUAAGAUUGGGAUGUUUGUUAGGAUUAAUAGGAUCUCACAACAAUAAAGGUGGUGCUAAUGUAACACUGGAAAAAUGAUUGAGUUUGUUUCCUUUAUAACAUACGGUCUCAUUUUCAUUUUCUUGUAAUUAUUCUAUUUUCAUUUUUUCUUUUUCAUUUUCUUGUAAUUAUUCUUUUUUCUUUUUUUUUUUCAUUUUCUACUUAUAAUUAGCAUUUUAGCAUAUUUUUUAAUCUACAUAACUUAUGUUAAUUGUUUAAUUAUCAGAAUAUAGAAGAUGACAUUUUAUGUUCUUUAGGAUAUAAGUAUAUAUUUAAUUAAUUUUGAUGUUCAAUACA